CUUAAUUUAAGGGAAGUUGGUGUUUUUUAAUUGUCUAUAUAAAUGAAUGAAAAUACAGAGACUUUCAUCUAUUCUUCCUGAAAUUUUCUGCUCUGUUUUUAUUUUUCAGUCCAGUAGUCUAACUAUGACAUUGCAACCAUGAAAACUUGCUACACCUUUUGAUUUUGAUUUGCUUAUGCAUUUUGUCCCAGUGUUCAAGGGGUAGCAAGUCAACAUCGCCUGGGACAGCUUCAAAUCCGUUGCCAUCUCCAACUCAACUAUAUCAGAUGUUUCCAUCUGGCAUUAACCA
rnacentral:misc_RNA from 1 species